GCGAGAGGGCCAAAGAAGGCGACCGCACGAGGGCAGCCACGGACCCCCAAAUCGAGGUAGUUCUCCCGCAACGCCGACGAGCCUGCGGCCCAGCCACCAAAUGCUUCGAUGAUAUCCAGUGGCACUCCCGCCGCACGGGCGGCCGAGGCACCACCCCGCCGCAAACUAUAAAGGGUGUGGACGGAACGAAGGCCCUCCAGGCCACACUGCGCCAAAACACGAUCGAACCAACGCUCGGCCCCCUGAGUCGUCUGGCGCUCCGGCCAUAAACGCGC
rnacentral:lncRNA from 1 species